rnacentral:rRNA from 1 species
UGCAUAUCAAUAAGCGGAGGAAAAGAAACCAACCGGGAUUGCCUUAGUAACGGCGAGUGAAGCGGCAAAAGCUCAAAUUUGAAAUCUGGUACCUUCGGUGCCCGAGUUGUAAUUUGGAGAGGGCAACUUUGGGGCCGUUCCUUGUCUAUGUUCCUUGGAACAGGACGUCAUAGAGGGUGAGAAUCCCGUGUGGCGAGGAGUGCGGUUCUUUGUAAAGUGCCUUCGAAGAGUCGAGUUGUUUGGGAAUGCAGCUCUAAGUGGGUGGUAAAUUCCAUCUAAAGCUAAAUAUUGGCGAGAGACCGAUAGCGAACAAGUACAGUGAUGGAAAGAUGAAAAGAACUUUGAAAAGAGAGUGAAAAAGUACGUGAAAUUGUUGAAAGGGAAGGGCAUUUGAUCAGACAUGGUGUUUUGUGCCCUCUGCUCCUUGUGGGUAGGGGAAUCUCGCAUUUCACUGGGCCAGCAUCAGUUUUGGUGGCAGGAUAAAUCCAUAGGAAUGUAGCUUGCCUCGGUAAGUAUUAUAGCCUGUGGGAAUACUGCCAGCUGGGACUGAGGACUGCGACGUAAGUCAAGGAUGCUGC